rnacentral:tRNA from 1 species
GUCACUAUGGCCGAGUGGUUAAGGCGUUGGACUCGAAAUCCAAUGGGAUCUUCCCGCGCAGGUUCAAAUCCUGCUGGUGACG